rnacentral:rRNA from 1 species
GGAGUUAGGACCGUGUCUCAGUUCCUAUGUGGGGGACCUUCCUCUCAGAACCCCUAACGAUCGAAGGCUCGGUGGGCCGUUACCCCGCCGACUACCUAAUCGUACGCAUCCCCAUCGGUGUAUCAAUAAAUCUUUAUCAUCUCUCAGAUGCCUAAAAAAUGAACUAUCAGGUAUUAAUUCUCCUUUCGGAAAGCUAUCCCUGAAUAAAGGGUAGGUUGCAUACGCGUUACUCACCCGUCCGCCGCUCGUCGGCAAGUAUUGCUACUCCCGUUACCGCUCGACUUGCAUGUGUUAGGCCUGCCGCUAGCGUUUAUC